GGCUCAGGAUGAAUGCUGGCGGCGUGCCUAACACAUGCAAGUCGAGCGGGAUUUUCUGGAUUGAAGCUUCGGUAGAUUGAAGGAAAUGAGAGCGGCGGACGGGUGAGUAACGCGUAGGCAACCUGCCCUUUGCAGAGGGAUAGCCAUUGGAAACGAUGAUUAAAACCUCAUAAUACCGAGGAAAGACAUCUUACUUCGGUCAAAGAUUUAUCGGCAAAGGAUGGGCCUGCGUCUGAUUAGCUAGUUGGUGAGGUAACGGCUCACCAAGGCGACGAUCAGUAGCCGUACUGAGAGGUAGAACGGCCACAUUGGGACUGAGACACGGCCCAGACUCCUACGGGAGGCAGCAGUGGGGAAUAUUGCACAAUGGGGGAAACCCUGAUGCAGCGAUGCCGCGUGAGGGAAGAAGGUUUUCGGAUUGUAAACCUCUGUCUUCAGGGACGAUAAUGACGGUACCUGAGGAGGAAGCUCCGGCUAACUACGUG
rnacentral:rRNA from 1 species